GAAGUGGACGAUAAUGGCUUCCAGUUCCACGUCAAUCAGCACCUGGACAAGGACCAGGACUAAACACACAGACAGACAAUGUCAAACACAGAGCAACACAAUGGAUCCUGCUUGUUGGAUCUUUCCUUUCUUGAAUUUAUUUUGAUCCAUGCAAUUAAUAACUGUAAAACUUCAUUGGUGGUACUUGUAUUGAUUACUCUAUCUCAGACUUUCAGUAUAAGCAUGAAUAUAUAGAUUAUAGUUUUUUUUUUGUCAUUUUUCUUUCAGUGCUGUAAAGAGUCAGCUAUAAUUUAUUUACAGCUAGUGUUUACACAGUAGUGCUGUGUUGUUUGUGAUGUUUGUAUAGUAACUAUUUUGAUUGUAAUUUUACUAUCUAACAUUAGUUGUAUAUACGGUAGUGCUCCAUUUGUAUUGUAUUGAUCAAAAUUCUUUGAGAUAACAAUCAUGUUACUAAAUGAGUUAUAAGAACACUCUGUUCCCAUGGUUUAAGGGUUAAUUAUUUCUUGCUUAGUGUGACUAACUAGCAUCUCUAGUCCUGACCAUUAUGGCCUUUUGUUUAACUUAAAGAUUUUUUAUUAUUUUGUGUGUGCAAUGCUGACAGCCGAAUCCUACAUGUAUCAAAUUGUAUAUGGUGGAUACUGAUGACACGUAUCAUGAUAGAUGGACAUAUAAAUCUGAGAGUGAUCAGUAGAAAUUUCAUGUGGAAUAUUGUGGUCGAAAAACCCAGUAUUUUCUUUACGAGGUCUUAUCAUUUGAUAUCAGCUUGUAAUGGUGUUUAAAAGCAUUUGAUUUUUGUUAUAUUUGCUAUAUAUUCCCAUUUUUUCUUAAAACAGAUUGGCUGUCUUUCAUCACCUUGUACGAUUGUAUUGUUUUGUUGUUUUACCCGAGUGGUUUGCAUAUUUAUUUUUAUUUUAUGCAAUUUUUUUUUUUUUUGCCUUUACCAGAGAAAGUUAGUUUUGAAACGUGUGGUCUUCACUCUAUGAUGAAGUGCUUACAGAACAAGUUAUGAAUGGUUAAAAAGAGAAUGGGUCAGAUAAAGUACCGAGAAUUACACCGGUGUAUCCAGACAUAACGCACAACAGUCUAUGUUGUCAGCUGUGUGGAAAAAGGGGUGGAGCUGCAAUUAGUUUUCAUUUGUAACCGCAAUUUGUGAAUGAAUCAAGUUUCAAGUACUGUCGUUUUUCAAUACAAUAUGUUUUUUGUAUAAUGUAAAAGCCUUGAUUUGUGAUAAGAAGAUGUGAUUAAAGUUUAUGUAUACAUU
rnacentral:misc_RNA from 1 species